UGAUGACGAGACGCUAAGGCGUUGAAGCAGUGUAUGUCAGACUUCCAAGAAAAGCUCGCAAUGUCACAAAUGAAAAAUGCCUGUACCAUAACCGACACAGGUGGGUAGGUAGAGUAUACUAAGGGGCGCGAGAUAACUCUCUCUAAGGAACUCGGCAAAAUGACUCCGUAACUUCGGGAGAAGGAGUGCCUUAUUUAUAAGGUUGCAAUAACAAGAUCCAAGCAACUGUUUAUCAAAAACACAGGUCUCCGCUAAGUCGUAAGACGAUGUAUGGGGGCUGACGCCUGCCCAGUGCCAGAAGGUUAAAGAAGUUGGUUAGUGUAUGCGAAGCUGAUGACUGAAGCCCUGGUGAACGGCGGCCGUAACGAUAACGGUCCUAAGGUAGCGAAAUUCCUUGUCGGGUAAGUUCCGACCCGCACGAAAGGCGUAAUGAUUUGGAUACUGUCUCGGAGAGAGGCUCGGUGAAAUAGACUUGUCUGUGAAGAUGCGGACUACCUGCACCAGGACAGAAAGACCCUAUGAAGCUUUACUGUAACUUGAAAUUGGAAUUGGACUUUGCUUGCGCAGUAUAGGUGGGAAGCGUUGAAAAUAUUCUUGCGGGAGUAUUGGAGCUAUCAGUGAGAUACCACUCUUGUAAUGUUAGAUUUCUAACUUUGAACCAUAAUCUGGUCAAAGAACAGUUUCAGGUGGGCAGUUUGACUGGGGCGGUCGCCUCCCAAAUGGUAACGGAGGCGUACAAAGGUUUCCUCUGAACGGAUAGAAAUCGUAUCUAGAGUGUAAAGGCAUAAGGAAGCUUGACUGUGAGACCCACAAGUCGAGCAGGGACGAAAGUCGGUCUUAGUGAUCUGACGGUACUGAGUGGAAAGGCCGUCACUCAACGGAUAAAAGUUACUCUAGGAUAACAGGCUGAUCUCCCCCAAGAGUUCACAUCGACGGGGAGGUUUGGCACCUCGAUGUCGGCUCAUCGCAUCCUGGGGCGGUAGUACGUCCCAAGGGUUGGGCUGUUCGCCCAUGAAAGCGGUACGCGAGCUGGGUUCAGAACGUCGUGAGACAGUUCGGUCCAUAUCCGGUGUAGGCGCUAGAAUAUUGAGAGGAGCCUUCUUUAGUACGAGAGGACCGAGAAGGACACACCGCUGGUGUACCAGUUAUCGUGCCAACGGUAAACGCUGGGUAGCUAUGUGUGGAGUGGAUAACCGCUGAAAGCAUCUAAGUGGGAAGCCCACCUCGAGAUGAG
rnacentral:rRNA from 1 species